CCUGUUCGUUACCACCCAGCCCCGGGCCGGCCGCCACUGCUCUUCUGUACUGCGUUCUCACCAACUCGGCUUAGACGUUUUUACUCUCUUCCAUUCCUUAUGCGCUGAAAUCCUUACUCUAGGGGAUACAAAGAUAAUCCCAACGUUUACUGUGGGCUUAACAUAGUGCAAGUGCUGGCGGUAAAGUGAAGACCAGGACAGACAUGUUCCCUCAGAGUCUGGCGGUGGGCAAUUCAUAGACUAGGUGAUGGGAAGCUGGAUACGGUGGACACGAAGAUGAUUAAAACACACCAAACCUGCUUUCAAAUGGCCUAUCUACAACCUGCUAGGGGAUAUACAUACACAGAGCCAACUUUAUUGCACGGUGUGUCAUAAUAACGUAAAUACAGUUCUAAAACUUCAAGGGAGGUGAUCUGGGUUCCAGAGAAAGAGCCAAGUAUUUAUCGACAUGAUGGUUCCCCCUCUGGUAAUGUAUACAGCACAUUCCAGAUGGUACAUGGAUGCCAUGGGAGGAUAGAGAAGCAGGAAAAUGACCCGUAGAAAUAAUGAAGAAGGCCAGAGCAAUUGGGAGCUCACCUGAGUGGACUCCAUAAAGAAAGGGUUGGUCCUGGCCUUCUCAGGAUGUAACUUACAGUGACUCAAUCAGAAGAAUAAAGAAAUGCUUUAUA